AAAUCACAAUGCGGAACAAUGUUUUGCAAUUGGAUUGAGAACAACGUACAAACCUUAUCGAUAAACAAUUGGAGGGCAAGUCUGGUGCCAGCAGCCGCGGUAAUUCCAGCUCCAAUAGCGUAUAUUAACGUUGUUGCAGUUAAAAAGCUCGUAGUUGAAAUGAAGGGUAGUUGUGUAAUGAAUACAUUCGUGUAUUUUGUUAUUCUACUACCCUCCUUCUAAAUUCGAUAUAUGAGUAUUAAUUUACUUGUAUAUGGUUUUAGACGUUUACUGUGAGAAAAUUAGAGUGUUCAAAGCAGGCAUUUGCUUGAAUAUAUUAGCAUGGAAUAAUCAUGUAUGAUUUUCAUGAUGUAUUUGAUUGGUUUGGUUCAUGAGAAUAAGAUUAAAAGGGACAGUUGGGGGUAUUCAUAUUCAAUAGUCAGAGGUGAAAUUCUCGGAUUUAUGGAA
rnacentral:rRNA from 1 species